GACGAACGCUGGCGGCGUGCUUAACACAUGCAAGUCGAACGCUGAAGCACCAGCUUGCUGGUGUGGAUGAGUGGCGAACGGGUGAGUAAUACGUGAGUAACCUGCCCUUGACUCUAGGAUAAGCCCGGGAAACUGGGUCUAAUACUGGAUGCUACAUGUCACCGCAUGGUGGUGUGUGGAAAGGGUUUACUGGUCUUGGAUGGGCUCACGGCCUAUCAGCUUGUUGGUGAGGUAAUGGCUCACCAAGGCGACGACGGGUAGCCGGCCUGAGAGGGUGACCGGCCACACUGGGACUGAGACACGGCCCAGACUCCUACGGGAGGCAGAAGUGGGGAAGAUUGCACAAUGGGCGAAAGCCUGAUGCAGCGACGCCGCGUGAGGGAUGACGGCCUUCGGGUUGUAAACCUCUUUCAGCAGGGAAGAAGCCACAAGUGACGGUACCUGCAGAAGAAGCGCCGGCUAACUACGUG
rnacentral:rRNA from 1 species